UGUGCUAAUACCGGAUAAGUCUUUACGGAGAAAGCUUUAUGCACCAUUGGAUGAGCCUGCACUUGAUUAGUUUGUUGGUGGGGUAAUGGCCUACCAAGACUGUGAUCAAUAGCUGAUUUGAGAGGAUGAUCAGCCACAUUGGGACUGAGACACGGCCCAAACUCCUACGGGAGGCAGCAGUGGGGAAUCUUGCACAAUGGAGGAAACUCUGAUGCAGCGAUGCCGCGUGAGUGAAGAAGGCCUUUGGG
rnacentral:rRNA from 1 species